rnacentral:lncRNA from 1 species
AAACACUAAAUAGAUCUAAGGCUCAUCUGCCUUUCGGUAUGGCCCUCACCCUGGUAUUCAGGAGGUUUGGAGUUAGUUUUGAGGGGGAGGCUUCUGCUAGGCUCUCUCACUCUGACACCAUCAACCAACACACUUUGCACCGUAUGGGAUUCACUAGGACUGAUGGUGGUUGGAUUAAGGGUGCAGAAGAGAGAGUUGAGGACAGAGCUGAGGAGGACAGAGCUGAGGAAGAAGAUCUUUCAUCACCUCUCCAUGACAUCAGGGCAGCAUCUCCAGACAUCCAGUUUGUUUCAGAUCCAGAGGCUGGCCCUUCAGAGUCCAC